rnacentral:tRNA from 1 species
GCCAGAGUAGCUCAGGGGUAGAGCUCCGCUUUCGUAAAGCGGUGGUCACGGGUUCAACUCCCGUCUCUGGCUCCA